rnacentral:rRNA from 1 species
GGGCAUUGCGCGGCUUACAAUGCAGUCGAGCGGAGAAAGUAGCUUGGUACUUUACCUAGCGGCGGACGGGUGAGUGUGCUUAUGAAUCUGCCUAUUGUGGGGGACAACAUCUCCGAAGGGACGCUAAUACCGCAUACGUCCUACGGGAGAAAGCAGGGGACCUUCUGGCCUUGGGCUUUUAGAUGACCCUUACUCAGAUUACCUAGUUGGUGGGGUAAAGGCCUACCAAGGCGACGAUCUGUAGCGGGUCUGAGAGGAUGAUCCGCCACACUGGGACUGAAACACGGCCCUGACUCCUACGGGAGGCUCCAGUGGGGAAUAUUGGACAAUGGGCGGAACCCUGAUCCAACCGUGCCACGGGUGUGAACAACGCCUUUUGGUUGUAAAGCACUUUAAGCGAGGACGAGGCUACCGAAAUAAAUACUCUUGGAUAGUGAACGUUACUCCUUGAAUAAGCACCGGCUAACUCUGUGCCAUCAGCCCCGGUCAUACACAGGGUGCAUGCGUUAGUCGGAUUUACUGGCCGUAAAUCGCGCGUAGGUGGCCCAUUAAGUCAAAUGCGAAAUCCCCAAGCUUAACUUGCCAAUUGCAUUCGAUACUGGCUGUCUAGACUAUGGAACAUGAUGGUAGAAUUCGAGGUGGAACGUCCAAAUGCAUAGAGAUCUGGAGGAAUACCGAUGGCGAAGGCAGCCAUCUGGCCUAAUACUGACGCUGAGGUGCGAAAGCAAGGCGAGCAAACAUGAUUAGAUACCCUGAUAGUCCAUGCCGUAAACCAUGUCUACAAGCCAUUGGUGCCUUUGAGGCUUUAGUGCCGCACCUAACGCGCUAAGUAGACCGCCUGGGCAGUACGGUCGCAGACUCAGACUCAAUGAGUAGACUCGGAGCACUUACAAGCGGUGCAGCAAGUGGGUUGAAUUCUGUGCAUCACUUAGAACCUUACCCUGAUAUCGAUAUCAUGUCAUGUCUUCAUAUGUGGAUUGUUGCCAUCGGGCAUCUUACAUACAGGUGCUACUGGCCUGUCGUCAACUCUGUCGUCAGAUGUGUGUGAGUCCUGCGACUAGCUCCAGCCAUUUUGCGUUAUCUGUCGACGUUAUUAGCAGGGAUCUUUUAGGAUACUGCCAGUGACUACUGUAGCAGGCCGGGAACACGUGCGAGAUCGAUCAUCGACCUUACCGUCCAGUCUUGACCUGUGCUACAUGUCGUACAUAGGUGCUACUGCACGGAGAUGCUAGGUCUCAACAGCUCCACUCGAAAUUCGUGAAUCGCUAGUAAUCGCGGAUCAGAAUGCCGCGGUGAAUACGUUCCCGGGCCUUGUACACACCGCCCGUCACACCAUGGGAGUUGUGCACCAGAAGUAGGUAGUCUAAC